rnacentral:rRNA from 1 species
UCUUUUCCUUUUGUGCCCGCCGCCGCGGUAAUACGUAUGGUGCAAGCGUUAUCCGGAUUUACUGGGUGUAAAGGGAGCGCAGGCGGUGCGGCAAGUCUGAUGUGAAAGCCCGGGGCUCAACCCCGGUACUGCAUUGGAAACUGUCGUACUAGAGUGUCGGAGGGGUAAGCGGAAUUCCUAGUGUAGCGGUGAAAUGCGUAGAUAUUAGGAGGAACACCAGUGGCGAAGGCGGCUUACUGGACGAUAACUGACGCUGAGGCUCGAAAGCGUGGGGAGCAAACAGG